rnacentral:lncRNA from 1 species
UUGACAAUAAAAAUAAAAAUAAACUUGUUUCCAUUAGUUUAGGGUCUGUUUGGUUAACCCCAAAAAGGAGCUUUUAGCUUUUACCUUAUAGCUUAUAAGCUCGUUUGACAAAAAAAGCUCUGUUUGGUAACACUUUUUCACCAUGAGCUUAUAGCUUAUUUCACGAGCUUAUAAGCUAUUUCAAGUAGCGUUUGAGCUUAUAGCUUAUAGCUUCUCACUUUUUCUUCCAAUUUUACCCUUAUUAUUUCAUUUAAAUUGUAUUUUUAUCCAUUAUAAUUUUUAUAAUAAGCUACGUAAUAAAGACUAUUAUCCCUUUAUUCCAAUUUUUGUAUAUAUAUCAGCUGGCCUUUUUUUUUUUUGAUUUUAAAAAAAAUAUAUAUACCUUCGUUUUUUUUUAUGAAACAAAAUACUAUUAUUCUAUUAGUGUUACUUUUUUUUUUUUUUUUUUUGAGGUAAGUGUUAUUUUCUUUAUUCUCUGUUAUUAGUAUUACUCUAUUAGUGCUACCUUUUUUUUUUUUUUUUUGAGGUAAAUGUUAUUUUCUUUAUAAAGUAGAAACACUUAAAUGAUAAUAAAUAUAAGAUAAAAUUUUAGUGAAUAAAAUUUAAUUUAAUUUAUAAUACAUAGGAUAUAUUAAAUUAAUAAAUUUAAAGUAUUUUUUUAAAGAAAAAUUAGUUUACAAAAUUACAAAUACUUAAAUUAAUGAUAUAAUUUUUAUUAUGAAUUAAGAAUACCCUUUAUGUCAUUUUACAUUUAUCAGCUAGUUUAACUGCUAUUUUUACCAAACACUUCAGUUAGCUUAUCAGCUGAAAGCUAUCAGCUAUCAGUUAUUUUUACCAAACAGAGCCUUAGUAUUUUGCCAUAACAAACAAUGAGAUCUAUUCAGAUUAACAUGUUCUUUAGAGAUGUUCAUGAUGUGGAGUUCAAUAGCCAUACAAACGUAAGUAAGCUUGAAGAAAAAGAAUCAAGUACUAGUUUUGAUAUAGAAUAGCUCAAAGAUAAUAGUGUUUUCUUAAGGAAAAUACGGAAUGUAAAACAUGCAUGUAUAUCACAAGUGAUAUGAAUACUACUACGAAGUUAUGCUUUCGUCCAUU